rnacentral:rRNA from 1 species
UUAGAGGAGGCUAGGGGAGCAAAAGUAGGUAUCCUUAACAGUGUAAACGAGUUUAGAACGAUCAAACCCCUUUGGGAUCAAAAACGAACCUAAACGUUUAAACACAACUUAUUACAAUACAAAGAAACGAUUGAACCCAACCAAUCCGAAGGUAUCAUACGAUCCCAAUCCCAAUACACACAAACUACAACCACAAUCCCAAUACACACAAACUACAACCACAAUCCCAAUACGAUACCAAUCCCAACACCAUUAACAAUACACCCCCAAUCCCAAUAAUUAAGUAUAUAUACAAUCCCGUAUACACACGUUUAUAAAAACAAUUCAUGAAUGAACUAUAUACACACAAAAACUAAUAACAUCCCUACCCCUCUUGUACACAAAUACAAGUAGUACACCUAUUUCUCCGGAAAAACUUUCCGUUACAACUCUGCCUGGGCCUACUCGAACUGUACCACAAACUCUCAUCAGGAUCGGAUUUUUCGUGCCUGUGCGGUCCUUAGCGGCUUGACGGCAGGACUAUGCCGCCCUAUGCCCCUAUGCCGCCCUAUGCCGCCCUAUGCGCUUAAAACCUCAUAGGGGCUUUAAGCUUAAUUUUUUUUUCUUUUUUGCUGACCCUAUGCGGCCCUAUGCGUCCCUGUGCAAUCCCUAUGCCGGACCGGGUUUUUGUGUGGGGGCCCGGUCGGUGCCGGGUUAUACAUUGGGAUAAAACGUCCCAGAGGUCGCACGGUAUGCUCGACGAGGGACGAAGGGUCGAGCUUGUCUUCCUCGGCGGUGGAAGACCUAGCUUCAAGGGUGGUGGACCUGAGCGGCGGCGGCCGCGGCCGCUGAGGACCUAAGCUGCCGCUGAGGAGGUAGGUCGUGGUCGUCGUCGUCAGAGAGAGAGAGGAGCGGAGGAGCCGAGGAGCGUCGACAUCGGACAUCGUUGAUCGUUCACCCGUACCGUAGACCCUCGCGGUGUCGACCAUCGGUUAAACACAAACUACACAAAACGUUCUACGUUGAAUGUUACUCUACCCCCCUGCUCCUAGCUAGUUCGUGAACUAUUUUCUCUGUGGUUUACCCCGUCAUGAGAUCAGAUUAGAAAUAAAACUAGAUAAAGAGAAAUUAAAAGACAGAAUUGAGAUAUAAUGUACCGUAUAAAAAUAAAAUAAAAUAUAUAUGAGCAGCAUAGGGGCUUACCGACAAAAACCUUUUAGGGCAUAGGGCAUAGGGGCAUAGGCAUAGGGGCAGAAAGGCAGGGGCACAGGCACGAAAAAUCCAGGAUCGAUACGCCUCGAAAACCUUGUUCACUCCUUGCUAAACUUAACCUACCUGGGUUCACUGCAACAACUCAAUCUCCCUUCCGUAUUACAACCAAAACCUUACGUGUAGGCAACCUUCUGUUACGCACACUUGAGGCUCGUUGCAACCCAACGUAUGUUCCUCUACCAACGGCUUAGAGAUCUGUUCCGAGAACUCAAUAAACGGAGGUUCUUCCAACUCAGAUGAAACUUAAAUCUGAACUUGGCCUUGGGGAGGGGCAACCAACGAUCGUGAGGGGGUGGGUGCUUGGUUCUAGUUUACUCACUUGGAGUAAAGUACGUUGUUCUAACCGGUUGUAACUCGGGCUGAGGUUUGUUGGUUUUACUUCCAAAACUUCUCCUCUUACUACUCAUGCUUCUCCUACUGUUGCUUCAACUAGAGGUACUGUUGUUACACCCACUAGAGAUGUUUAUAGUACACGUUCUCUGUUACCUGGUUAGGUAGGGAAAAAGGGCACGUAUACGUAGCCUGAGCCUACUGCUACCAGGGCUACUUCUUCAACUACUCCUCCCCAAGUACGGGUUCCUCCGGGUUCGUAAGUUCUUCCAUAAGCCCGCCCUAGUGUUCUGUGGUAACAAGUUCCUAGAAUCAGAGUGCCUACUUCGGCAACACCUACCACCGUUUACGUAUAGAGAACCUCGAUCCGGUUCAAGAGUGGCACUAAACCUUCUGCCGUUCUUGCCCUAUAUAGGGCCAACACUCAAAGUUAGGAAGAACCUUAACUUCUAUACCGAGCUAUUGAUGAGCCAAUGUGUAAUAGCAGGUGUAUUCACAGGUUGAGUCUGCACUUACACGCAAUGUGCCAGUUUACACUUCACGGUUGUACAGGUACCUAACACGCACGUUCCGGUACCUUUCCUCCGGGGUGAACCGCGUAUCACUCAACAGAUGGUUGAGUGUACACGGCCGUGUUCUUACGCCUACCGUUCGAACACAUGGUUGUUGUGUCUGUUGAGUGUAGGCUCAAGUAACGAAUGUCCGACAGGUUGGUUUAUAGGUGUGAAGGUUAUUACUCGUAGUUCUCACAGUAACUGGAACACUUUCGGUAGAAAGUAAUGUUCCACUUCAUGCUGUUCCGUACCUUCCGCUUCGUUCGGCGUAAGUUCUACAACAUACUGUUAACCCUCCUUCGUAUGCGUCUGUACGAGAGAAUGGAUACUUCACGAAACAGGCACAGGUGGGUGAGGCCGCCCACUCCACCUUGUCUGGUUUGACUGCUAUGUGCCCUACGCCGUUUACUUUGAGUUGGCGGGUCAACGUAUAGUCACCCGUGACGUAUUCGGUCUCUAGGAAUAGUGCGUUCGUGUAGCCCAACUCCGCCUUGAGGAGCCACAUGGGGUUCGAGAGUGGGUGCGGUAUACCGACGGUAAGGUGGAUACUUUAUCCCGUUGUUACGUUUAAACUACUGAUAAAAAGUUCGUUCGUACUCUUUCCUGACUUCAUUACUGUAGGAAUGGACGAGUCCGCAUUAGCACAGGUUGAGCCGUUACAUGAAAACCAUGUACUCCAACUGUAGCAAGCAGUAAAGCCUUGCUAUAGGGUGAACAUUCGGGUGCACCCCGCGGCAUUAAGCAGUACAAGUAGACGUAUGGUUCCUAGUUUGGACUGCGAGAAGCCCGCAGGUUGUCCGUCUGCGAGGGUCGAGGUAUGUCUUUCAUCUUCGUCUAAUGGUGGUUACGGACGUGAUAGACACUAGGACGUUGUGCGUAGCAGGUUGAUGUAUACUUUCUUUUUGUUACAAUUGAACUGUCGUUCGAACGUAACGAUUACUUCUUUACUCAACUAGUGUUUUGUCUGGUUGAUGGACAGCCAUGUUCAUCCGUUCUCAGCGACUUGGGGUCGAGGUAAACGAUAGCUUCUACCAGUUGCGGAAGUCGGUGUAGGUACCUCGCAAGAACGGUCACCUCAGUCCUUUGUUUCAGGAGCUGUGUUGCAUGGUGUAUAUGUGUGCUCGUACACAGACCUAGUGUAGUAGUCACCGUAGGCCUCCCGUGCAGCGUUUCAAUAAAACUUAGGUGCACUUUCGUCGAGGCCGACGAAAGGAAAGGGAGAAGAAGAAGAGAAGAGGGAGGAGAUGUAGUCGGAGUCGGAGCCAUCCUCGGUAUGGCUAUUCUCAUUAGUAGACGAGUGCGGUGGGUAGUCUUAGCCACGAGUAUGUCUCUCCGGAGGGUAGCUAUCGUUCUGGCCACUAGUUGCUCUGUAGGAGCUCGCAGUACCAGUAGAGGGGUCAGGCUUCUACCUUUGACACGCAGAGGCCGGAGGUGGCUAGUUGUUCUCGCCUGUGGUCACCUCGCAAGUCUAAGCUGCACCUGGCCGACUGGUUGUCUUAGGUGUCCUCAUCAGGACGGACGAACUACAUGCCACACAUGGCGAGUAGUAUUCCGUACCGUCCUGGUCUCUGGGGCACUAUGGCUUAGAAAUCUCCAAGUUCGAAGACGUUUUUUGUUCAUUACUGUUUAGAAUCCCGUACAUUUAAAGUUGAUUUCCGUUUAAACGUUUUCUAAAUCUAAUGAGUAAUAAUGGAACAGGAAGAGCGCGUAGUACAUCCGGGCCACAACGUGCAGCAUCUGUAGCAGGUCUUCGGUUUGGUAGGAAUGUUAAAGUUUGUCAUUUGUAUAUUCUCAAGUAGAAGUAGAGUUUAUAGCCAUAUGUGAUUUGUAUAUUGUACACAAGUUGAUGUUCUUAGAGUUGUAGAGGAAGAGUGUGUUACUUAUACAGUAUACACAAGUUUAUUUGAUUUAUAGAUUAUAAACUUUAUUUGAGUUGUAGAUUAUAAACUUUAUUUGAGUUGUAGAUUAUAAACUUUAUUUGAGUUGUAGAUUAUAUAUAGAUUUGUUUGUAGAGAUGUUUUUAGUUGUAGAGUAUCAAUAGAUAUUUUUAUCCGUAGAGUAUAUAUAGAUUUUUUUGAUUGUUAGAUCCCAAAGUGAUUGUUCUUACUAUAUAACACUUGAUUAGUUAUUGUGAUGCCAUGAUGGUUAUACUGAUGUGUAGGAUUUAGCUCGUUUAGUUCGUUUAGUUUCCAAGGUAGUUUAGAGCCUGUUUAGAAAUUUUACCGUUGUUUAAAUGUCUCCUUUUCUUUCUCUUGCCCUCUCAAAUGGAUCAUCUUACCUAACCUCUAGCUUAGGUGCCUAGUUUAGAAGUCUAGACUCUCCCUACACCCCCCUAAUCUACCCCCGCGGCGGCGACGAGAGACAGGUCUCUCGCCUCUCUACUUCUUGAUGGACCAGCCCGACCCCGUCGGCGCGAAUUCAUUGACACGUCGCGGAUUCCCGAUCCGUGACGUGCAGUGUCACACCGCGGAUCAUGAAUCCGCAACGUGUCCACGCACACCCCGGCGCGGACCGGAGCCCGACGGUGCGACUGUCCUCCACGCUGCGGAUUACCUUCCUGCGACGUGUCAUCCCACGCCGCGGAUCGACAGCCCUCGGUGAGCUUUCCCAGUCGUCUCGCUUUAAAAAAGCCUUCGUCCAGUCAAAUACUAAACUAAACCCGGAGUCCAGUUUAUACACUAAAGACGGAAAAAGGAUAGGAGAAGGGGAAACGAGAGAAUCGGGAGUUCUUUGGAUUGCUUCGACCGCCGACUCUACUGAGCCGACCACGAGACGACCCGGCGAGGUUACCGCUGCAGCUGGGACAGCCGGCGAUAGAUGGAACGGCGGCGGCGAGGGUGACUAAAACGACGGAGACGCUGCGGAGGCAGGGAGGUUCCGCUAACGUAGUAGACUCCGCCCCAGCGCCGUGGAAGGGUCUACGCCGCCUCCGUGGUGUAGGGUACCGCUGCCGCCGGACCUCGAGGAGGGUGAGAUAAAGCAGGGGUGCAACUACGUUCGGUAGACGCCACACUAGGAAGGUUCCACGUGCCAGAAGAACCACCUAGGUCGACUCCGCGCGCUACCCUAGGGCACGCUCCCCUGCUCCGCUAGAUCGCCGCGCACAAGUAGAGCCACCUAGGUCAACUUCACGUGCUCCCUCAGUAGGAUCCCCAACCUUAACCACUGACUCCUCCUCCGCCGCGGCCGCUCCCACGUGUUCGGCACGUGUUCCGGUGCUGCUGAGGUGUUUCUGACAACGCGAGAGGGACUGGUAGCUAGCGCACGAGAGGCUGGAGAGGAGUAGUAACUGCCCACUUCUUUUAAAGAAGAUCUCCACUCCGUCACCCUUUAUUAGAACUACGUUGUCGCUUUCACGAUGUCUAGGAUCGGAGGAGGGGAACACAUACAAGAUCGUCUCUGUCUAUCCUCUAAGUCUAUCCUCGCUAAGUGUUUAAAGCAGAGGAGACAAUUUAAAGCAACCAGAGAAGAGAGGAUAUGCGAUAGGCUAAAAGAACUAACAACCGGUAUAUAAACACAUGAGUUUUACUACAACGGGUUACAUAUAAAAGUCAUAUACGACGACAGAUUACGAAUAUGUCGCCUCUCCUCCACAGGCUCCUCGGCUGGGGUUACCGAGACAGAUGCGUCGGCACCUAACCUACGUGUUAACAAAGUGAAGCGUUUGUUGUCGGUACAGUCCUUCGGUACUAGACCUCACCAGUAGCGAGUUAUUUUUACCUACGUCGUUUUGGGGGUAACUUCUUUGCACGAUCUUCGGUCGAGGUGUAAGCCGAUUGGACUUGGAAGUAGCGAUGGAUCCAUACCGACGGUUCAAAGGAAAUCAUUACAUAUACGUAGUACAAGUCUGUACGGACGUUCCGAGGUAGAUCCAUCUACAAUGCAUGAGAUCGAAGGGUGGUGAUUAAAGUAAAUCAAAGAACUAACAUUCAACUUGUUUGACUUAGAUGCAUGUAUACGUUUUUAUAAAGUGAUACGUUUGAUGUUAUAUACCAGACGUGAACGUUAUCAAAAUGACGUGAACCUUAUGUUACAGCACUUCUUUUAAUAACACAAACGGUGUUGGAAUCGGACUGUAUGUGUAAGACUUUACCAGCCGCAAGUUUGUUUUGUUUCCAAUCGUAGGAAGGAGCAAGUAGGGGCAAAAUCUUACCAAAACAUGCUACGUCUAAGUAACUUACCGGCUCAUAAUUAAAGUAACCUAGACACCACGCUACAGAUCGAUCGUUAACCUUUUGGUUAAUCAACUACUUAACUUCGUCAGAACAAACGUUCACAUGGUGAACAACACAAGAAUUUCUUUUCCUGAACCGAAGAGAUCGAAGCGUUCAGAAAUUAUUUGUACGUAUUAUGUUCCUAACCCGAGUAGCGAAAUAACUGUACGUACAGUAGUAAACACUCUUCAGUAAAAGUCAUGGUAACUAUAACGAAUGUUUGUACAACUGGUCCGCGUUUGACUUCGUCUAGGUAGGUUCUACGAGUUUUGACAAAAUAAAAACACGAGAACACAAGAUAGAAGAACUUGUUGGGUUGGUUGUGUAAACAUCAGAUCCGGGUCUUAUCCACAAAUGAAGUAAUGAUUGAGGUAAAUAAAACUGAAGGAGUAGCUGUUAUUCAACAUCAUUUUAUGACUUAGACGGCUGUACGUAAGAUCUUACCGGCAGAAGUUUGUUUCCACUCUGAGUAAAUGAGGGGACCAAAGCCAACACUAACAAGUUAGGGAAAGGUAAUAGACAUCGGACCCAAGCGACGAUCUGAUGAAAAAUGAUAAGGUUAACGUUUUAUAUACAGAGUUGCCUGAUAUGAUUGGCUCUUCCAACUUUAGGGUGCUCUUCUGCUGUACGAUCGCCGGUCGAGAUGGAAAACGGUUGCACACUUAGUUCCGACGUAGCUAGCCGAUUGAUUACUCUAGUUACUCAAAGAAGUAAUCCUGGAGUCUAACUAAGGGUUCAAAAGAGCAUCGAUCGUUCAGGGAGGUAGGCCCAAAUAAUCCGGCUGGUUAUUUAAAUUCAUACAGUGUUUUUAAUAUAGUAGCCUUUCGAGAAAGUUUAUGUUUAGGUUGGUACAUGAAAAACAUGGUAUAUAAAAUAUAAAAUGACCCUUAUACCUACCAGUUUCAAACCGAGUUUUAUCACCCCCCGGAUUAUUUGGACCUGCCUCCAUGAUCGAUCGUUCAGAUUAAUCACUCAUUAUAUAAGUCUGGACGUCAGAGGUAGAAAUAAUCAAAUAAUGAGGGAGCCAGGCCUUUUCCAACAGGGUUCGAACAAGGAGUUUACCAACAUAGAUCGCGAUUGAACCACGAUCUAUGUAGGUAUAGUUCCUGUUCAAAAAAGCCUGUCUCCCUCAUGAAUUGUUACGGGAGUUCUGGACGUGUCUUUUGUUCCAGUCUAGGCACCUUGUGUACUAUGAUCGUUUUUACGAGACAUCCAUUACAACAAUAAUAACAAAGAAAGUAGUUGUAUGUGGUACAAUAAAUCCCUCGUUAAUAUUGACAACACGCGAAGAGGAACCGUGUGAUGAAUACAUCAAUAAAGGAGUUAAGUAAAAGGAACGAUUGUUCAUAAAACAAACAUGAAGUCACAUUCGUUGACAUUCAACCAAUUCUACAUUGUGUUGAACUUGGUAAGAAAGUAUUGUUGGGUGACCGUAAACUAUAACUCAAAGUCUUAAAAAUAAUAAUAACAUCUAGUCUACCUUUAGAUGUUGGAGUUUAGACUCGUUCAUGUGUAAGUCAGUAGAUAGGACUGCGUUACGUCUUAUAAACAGGGAAUCUGGUAUUACAUAUGAACAUAAUGACCGGUCUUGCGUAACUCUAAAAAAUUCUAUUAUUUAUAGCGGGGUUUCAAGACUUUAUAAACAUGACGAAAAAAAGAGAGAGAGUACAGAAAGGAGCUAUGGAAAAAUCAAUAGUACUACACUCAGAAACGCCCUCAGAAAAAUCCUCUGUUUUUCUCCAGUACAAGGUAUAGUUAGUAUUAAAUAUAGAGGCGCGAAUUAUGGUGUUGAGUUUGUAAUCUGGAUUCCUCUUUUGAGUUUUAUGAUGAGGGAGGCAGGGUUUUAUUUACAGAGUUGAUACAUGAUUGAAAUCAUGUUUCAAGAGUUGAAACAUGAUUGAAAUCAUGUUUCAACAUGAUUUCAACUCUGUGAAUAAAACUCUGCCUCCCUGAUGAAAAAACGUCUAAUUAGCCUGACCUCAAGAGAACUCAAUGUGUCGUAAUAUAAGAACUAAAGAGAGAAAUCAAUGUAGGGUAGUAUAAGAUAUUUUACCUCUCUGUUCAUGUCAUAUAUUUUCGUGACGUUUGUUUACAUAUGUUCAAUGAAGUAUAGAGAUUGUUGAGAAAAUUCAGUUUUAUCUGCCCGCGUUGUUGUGCGCGGUAGUUGCUAGAUCAGGAACGAAUUAUGUGACAACGUAUUCUCUUGUGAUUAGGGGAGUGUCUAAAGAUGGAACUGUAACCGUAGCUGCUUAUCGAACUUCCAGGGUAUACUGUUAGACCACGGAGUCCUCCGAUGGUAUUCCAUUGACAUUAUUGAGACAAUACAAAACGAGUUUUCUCGGAAACUUAUAUGUACGAAUGUAAGUAUCUCAAACAACUCUAUGAACAACAAAAGUCGUAUACCGCACGUACUACGCACAUACAAAUAUUUCACGUGCAGUACACACCCCAAGCUAUUGGAUCAACACAUGAACGAUCGCCUAAAAGAAUGUUUCUCCACUGAAUAAUACAAGACCCCCGAACCCUCAAAUAGUACGGUGCGAUCUACGACUGCGAGACUGAGUCCGGUGUAACUCGCUGUGUACGUGACCCUCGAGCCCUCCAAUGGUGUGGUGCGCUCCACAACCGGGAAGCCAGGUAAACGUAACGUAGUUGUCAACGUGCUAGUACGGGUCACCUCCGUGUACUGAAACCAGAGUCUGACCUUAGAAUCUACACGCUAACGAUCGUCGGCUAGUUUACAUUCUACUUCGCUGAACCGAUACGCAACUCCAAAGUAAGGGUCGGAACGUAUCAUAACUACACGUUUGUGAUCUAAGGGGAUGUAGUUAACUAGAUAAGAGCUACAUCCUGACGACUUGGUAACAAGGCCCGAGAGAUUCACAUAUACUGCGGUUCGGUCAAGUCAGCUAACAAAACAGGUCUGCGAUUAGAGCCGGAGGACAUAUUAGGUAACGUCGAUCUAAACGUACGAAAUCUACAGCCCUGAGUUGACGAUGUUAGAGAUCUACAAGCAAGUCCACUAGUAAGCUUCCCGGUUUAGUCUUGAAGAGGAAGCAAGCGAUCACCGCUGACCUCAGGUAGAGACCAGCCGCUUCUCCCACACAUUGUCAGCGCACACGUUGACAGAACCAACGUACCGUAGGUACUUUUCGUGAAGAGAUGUGCACCGAGGAGGGAAUCCGCCUGGGAACUACUUAAGAAAAACUUACAGCUGCAUUAGGUGGAGGUAGGGAGAGUAUGAAACGUUUUGUAUAUGUAUAUGUGUGUCUUUGUGUGGAAAACAUAAUAGUGCGUAUUGUUUAUAUAUUCCUUGUAUAAAACAUACGUAGAGAAGACUAACAAUUUUGAGCUACUAAAAAAUCAGAACACGUAGUAUUUCGAUACCGUUAGUUGUAAAAGUCUCGUAGUAACCUUCGGUAGCUAAAAAUAGAGACUAGAUGUUUUCACUUGUAUAUCUAUUAUAAUUUUAUUUUUAUUCGGGUCUAUGUUAAGUAUAAGUAACCAGUCUACAGUUUACACUCGUCCACAGAUAAAAAUCAACCUCACUCACCGUAACAUGAAAAAUCAUCUCACUCAGUGUAAGGGUAAAUUAUUUCACAUUCGAGUGGAUAUUUAGUGAACAACCAUUAAUAAGAGGUCUUUACUAAACAACUAUAAAAAGAGGUCUUUGACCGAAAGGGAUUUCUUCCACGGUGAGGAAGAGAAAAAUAAUAUUUGGUUUUCGUUAAGUGAGAGAGAAAGAGAGAGGCGUACCGUGUUGCGAGUGUGAGCGUAGAGUAAGAGGGCAGGACGAGAAGAACAACAGCAGUAACCGUAGUUUGGUACGGUAUCGUAAGUUGGGUGGGAAGGAGAGUCGCGGCAGAGGGGAGGGGAGGUGCCGUAACGAGGGAGGGGGAGAUGCCGCAGGGUCCGGCUAAGGGUCACGGUUCCUUACGUGUGGCAGUAUCGGCUCCCACUGGUGGUGUUGCACAAAAUGGCUUUAUCCGAAUGCGGGGCGAUAUAACCAUAUCGUUGGUGGGCUAUGUUGUUAGGCUUGGUGCGACCCCGUUUGUCGUGUUCGUGCGGGUUUUCUUUAUUGUUCUCUUUUAUUCUCUUUUUUACGGUUGUUGCGGCCUAGUUGCUUUCGAUGCUGUGUGGCGCUAGCGACGCGGGUGGCUUCUAUUGGUGGUGCGAGGUUUCGGUGGCUCAACGGCCCAUGGUUCGUGGUGGAAGUUCUUCCUUACGCUGCUACUGCUACGACGACGGGCCUGCUUAGGAUCCUAAAGAAGGCCAUGUGCCUCCCAUGUACCCCCUCUCCCAGUGGACUGCGGGAAGUUCUUCCUACCGCCGCGGGCGUCCGCAGUGGCGCAACCACGGCCGUUCUGGGCUGUACCUAAAGAGGGCUGGAGAGCGCGGGUGGUGGGUCCUGGUUGGAAGUCGAGGUGGUGUGGGCGGCGGGUGGUUGUACGCGGUUGUCAGUGCUCCUGUGGCGGCAGCAGAGUGGUGCUGGUUGCUUCGCUCCGGCCGGCCUAGGUUUGCUC